rnacentral:rRNA from 1 species
CAGUCGACGCUUCUUUUUCACCGGAGCUUGCUCCACCGGAAAAAGAGGAGUGGCGAACGGGUGAGUAACACGUGGGUAACCUGCCCAUCAGAAGGGGAUAACACUUGGAAACAGGUGCUAAUACCGUAUAACAAUCAAAACCGCAUGGUUUUGAUUUGAAAGGCGCUUUCGGGUGUCGCUGAUGGAUGGACCCGCGGUGCAUUAGCUAGUUGGUGAGGUAACGGCUCACCAAGGCCACGAUGCAUAGCCGACCUGAGAGGGUGAUCGGCCACAUUGGGACUGAGACACGGCCCAAACUCCUACGGGAGGCAGCAGUAGGGAAUCUUCGGCAAUGGACGAAAGUCUGACCGAGCAACGCCGCGUGAGUGAAGAAGGUUUUCGGAUCGUAAAACUCUGUUGUUAGAGAAGAACAAGGAUGAGAGUAACUGUUCAUCCCUUGACGGUAUCUAACCAGAAAGCCACGGCUAACUACGUGCCAGCAGCCGCGGUAAUACGUAGGUGGCAAGCGUUGUCCGGAUUUAUUGGGCGUAAAGCGAGCGCAGGCGGUUUCUUAAGUCUGAUGUGAAAGCCCCCGGCUCAACCGGGGAGGGUCAUUGGAAACUGGGAGACUUGAGUGCAGAAGAGGAGAGUGGAAUUCCAUGUGUAGCGGUGAAAUGCGUAGAUAUAUGGAGGAACACCAGUGGCGAAGGCGGCUCUCUGGUCUGUAACUGACGCUGAGGCUCGAAAGCGUGGGGAGCAAACAGGAUUAGAUACCCUGGUAGUCCACGCCGUAAACGAUGAGUGCUAAGUGUUGGAGGGUU